rnacentral:rRNA from 1 species
GACGAACGCUGGCGGCGUGCUUAACACAUGCAAGUCGAGCGGUAAGGCCCUUCGGGGUACACGAGCGGCGAACGGGUGAGUAACACGUGGGUGACCUGCCCCCUACUCUGGGAUAAGCAUGGGAAACUGGGUCUAAUACCGGAUCUGACCUGCGAUUGCAUGAUUGUGGGUGGAAAGUUUUUUCGGUGGGGGAUGGGCCCGCGGCCUAUCAGCUUGUUGGUGGGGUGAUGGCCUACCAAGGCGACGGCGGGUAGCCGGCCUGAGAGGGCGACCGGCCACUCUGGGACUGAGACACGGCCCAGACUCCUACGGGAGGCAGCAGUGGGGAAUAUUGCGCAAUGGGCGGAAGCCUGGCGCAGCGACGCCGCGUGGGGGAUGACGGCCUUCGGGUUGUAAACCUCUUUCGGCCCCGACGAAGCGUGAGUGACGGUAGGGGUAGAAGAAGCACCGGCCAACUACGUGCCAGCCGCCGCAGUAAAAC